rnacentral:snRNA from 1 species
GGAUGUGUAAGGGUGAUCUGGCUGCAAUGUCUGUCAUCCCAUUAACCACCAGAGUUGAUUUGGUGGGCACCCCUUCUUAUACCCCAGGUUCCUAGGCCUACGUCCCAAUGCUCCUUGCUAAGUCAAAGAAGAUGGCCUUUCCUGAUUGAGUAGGAGCAUGCUUUGAUGAAGGGAAAACGAGUAGCUGUCCUCCUCUGCUAAAACCUUCCAAAAAUCUCUGAAGAGAGGGAAUGUUUCCUAGCAAGAAUGAAUGUCUAAUCUGGAAAGCAUGGUUAUUUUGUUUUUCUA